rnacentral:lncRNA from 1 species
AGAGAGGGGGAUUUUCUUAGUACCUUGGUAGAUUCAGUGACAAGAUGUGGAACUUCCUCUUGCUUAACCUGGACUCCACUGAGACCCCUCAUCUUUGGGCAGCGCCUGUCAGAGAUCAUCAGCCUCAGCUUUAGGGGCCUGGGUCCCGGGCUCAGCAGAAAGGGGUCCUCGGCGCCAUGGGGCUUCCUCUCUCUGAGUCCUGUGGCAUUCUCUGGGCUGCGUGGUUACGCUGCAGCCCAUCCCGAGGGUCGUCCUGGGGUUGGGGUGCGAGGGCCUGUUGGUAAAGGCCUCCCUGGGCGUCCUGGGGCAGCCCCGUGGGGAGUGCCAGGCUGUGGCCUCGGAGGGACAUCAGUGCUUAGGGAGCCUCCUGACUUUCUGCCGACGAGCCCCUGCAAGGAGCCCACUGCUCUGUCCUCCCAUGGAGACUGUGAGAGGCCAGCCUGGCCGUUGCACCAGGCACAGCCCCACUGCUGCGGGCAGCAUGGUGCCGUCAGAACCUGCCCCAGCCCUGACCUGGGCUCAGUGGGCUGGGAGCCCUGGGCUCUUGUCCUCUGGGGGCAGGAGCGCUCCACUCACCGUGUGUUCUCUGUCCUCAGGCACGGAGGCGAAGGCUGUCCUGCCCAAGAAGGAGAAACUGAAGCUGAGACGGGAGCGGUGGCUGCAGAAAAUCGAGGCCCUAAAGCUGGCGGAGCAGGAGCGCAGGGCGCAGCAGCGGCGGAAGGCCACGGUGGUGGUGGGGGACCUGCAGCCCCUGAGGGACGCCCUCCCCGAGCUGCUGGAGUUGGAGGCUGGCGGCCGGCGGCAGCGCACCAGAGGGUGAGUGUCCAUCUCAGCUGCCUUGAGACGGCAGGCUGCGACAUUCAUGGCGGGGCUGGCUCUUCUGGAGCUGCUGCCCCCGCCACGUGUCCAGAGCGGGAGGAGAAACAGCAGAGCAGGGGGGUGGGCAGGGCUGCCGGACGCUGCAGAGGAGGGACGGCGAGCCCCGCAGCCCUUCUGGACGUGAACCCCAUGCUCGUGGCCCGAGCCUUACGGGCAGCAGGUGGUGUCUUCCUCAAGGGAGGCAGGGGAGCCCUGGCCUGCACUGGUGAAGGGCCUGGCUGGCAUGUUGAUGGGGCGCCCGUAGGCCCUCUGCCUUUGGGUUCUGGGGUGGCUCAGCCCGGAGGGCACUGCUGCGUGGCUGGUCCUUCCAGCGCCCGGCUGGGCUCCGUUCUCCCCGUCCCCUGCUGUCUGCCCCUCAGGGACGCUCCUGCUGUAUGA